CCUACGGGAGGCAGCAGUAGGGAAUUUUCGGCAAUGGGGGGAACCCUGACCGAGCAACGCCGCGUGAACGAAGAAGUAUUUCGGUAUGUAAAGUUCUUUUAUUGGAGAAGAAAGAGAAAUUUGACGGUAACCAAUGAAUAAGCUCCGGCUAACUACGUGCCAGCAGCCGCGGUCAUGCGGAGGGAGCGAGCGUUAUCCGGAAUUAUUGGGCGUAAAGGGUGCGUAGAUGGUUGAUAUAAGUCUUUUGUAAAAAUGCUAGGCUCAACCUAGUAGGGCAAAAGAUACUGAUUAACUAGAGUACGGGAGAGGCAAGUGGAACGAGUUGUGUAGCGGUAAAAUGCGUAGAUAUUUGGAAGAACACCGGUGGCGAAGGCGGCUUGCUGGGGCUGUACUGACAUUGAGGCACGAAAGCGUGGGGAGCAAACAGGAUUAGAUACCCUAGUAGUC
rnacentral:rRNA from 1 species